UAUGCGCGGUAGAGGAGCGUUCCGUAAGCCGUUGAAGGUGGAUUGAGAAGUCUGCUGGAGGUAUCGGAAGUGCGAAUGCUGACAUGAGUAACGAUAAUGCGGGUGAAAAACCCGCACGCCGAAAGCCCAAGGUUUCCUUGCGCAACGUUAAUCGGCGCAGGGUGAGUCGGCCCCUAAGGCGAGGACGAAAGUCGUAGUCGAUGGGAAGCAGGUUAAUAUUCCUGCACCUCGCGUAAGUGCGAUGGAGGGACGGAGAAGGUUAGGUGUACCAGGCGUUGGUUGUCCUGGGGAAAGGCGGUAGGUUUGGAUCUUUGGCAAAUCCGGGAUCCUCUAAGACCGAGCACCGAGACGAGCCUUUAAGGCGAAGUCACUGAUACCACGCUUCCAGGAAAAGCUCCUAAGCUUCAGCUUACGCAGACCGUACCGUAAACCGACACAGGUGGGUAGGAUGAGAAUUCUCAGGCGCUUGAGAGAACUCGGGUGAAGGAACUAGGCAACAUGGCACCGUAACUUCGGGAGAAGGUGCACCCUUUUUGGUGGCUCGUGCGAGCUAUAGCUGAAGAGGGUCGCAGUAACCAGGCCGCUGCGACUGUUUAUCAAAAACACAGCACUCUGCAAACACGAAAGUGGACGUAUAGGGUGUGACGCCUGCCCGGUGCUGGAAGGUUAAUUGAUGGGGUCAGCCGCAAGGCGAAGCUCUUGAUCGAAGCCCCAGUAAACGGCGGCCGUAACUAUAACGGUCCUAAGGUAGCGAAAUUCCUUGUCGGGUAAGUUCCGACCUGCACGAAUGGCGUAACGACAGCGGCGCUGUCUCCACCCGAGACUCAGUGAAAUUGAAAUCGCUGUGAAGAUGCAGCGUUCCCGUGGCAAGACGGAAAGACCCCGUGAACCUUUACUAUAGCUUUACACUGAACGUUGAGUUCGUCUGUGUAGGAUAGGUGGGAGGCUAUGAAACUGUGGCGCUAGCUGCAGCGGAGCCAUCCUUGAAAUACCACCCUGUCGUGCUUGACGUUCUAACCUGGGCCCAUUAUCUGGGUCGGGGACCGUGUAUGGUGGGUAGUUUGACUGGGGCGGUCUCCUCCUAAAGAGUAACGGAGGAGCUCGAAGGUACGCUCAGCGCGGUCGGACAUCGCGCACUGUGUGCAAAGGCAUAAGCGUGCUUGACUGCAAGAUCGACGGAUCAAGCAGGUAGGAAACUAGGACUUAGUGAUCCGGUGGUUCUGUAUGGAAGGGCCAUCGCUCAACGGAUAAAAGGUACUCCGGGGAUAACAGGCUGAUACCGCCCAAGAGUUCAUAUCGACGGCGG
rnacentral:rRNA from 1 species